ensembl:lncRNA
GACAGGAGCUUUUGAUCACCGCUGUUAGAACUAGAUUGGAAACAGUGACCUACAGCCAGUGCUUUGAGUUGUUCAGUCCCAGAAGAAGUUGCAGUCCAGAGACAGCAGUCCAGCAAGCAGGAACCAGGAGUGGGGAAAACAAACAUCAAACAACCUGAGUCCUUCCCAGGAGAGAGGAAGCAAAACUUGAACCCCUUCCCCACAACCCUGAUUCUUCCAUAUGGUACAUGCAGCCCCCCCACACACACCCUGCCCCCCACCUCCCCGGGCUGUGUUUAGUCUCUUUCUUGCCCAGAAUUUCCUGGACCAGUUUAUCCACUCCAUGAGCAGCUAAGAUACUCGUUGGAAGGCUGUAUGCUCCUAAGUGUCUGGAGAACUUCCCAGGAAGAUGUAUCACCUCAGACGUAUCAGCACUCACACAUCAAACUGGGACAUGUUUCAAAGCUGCACAUGCUUCAGAAUGGUUGGAACUGGAAAUCCUGUUCCUGCCCAUCCCUACUUACCUACCUCUCCAGGCAGUGGGAAGACCGCAUUUUGAACGGCCAUGCUGGAGGCUGGGCACAUGCUCUCACAGUGCCCAGCCCUGGGGAAUGGAACAGUAGGCACUUUUCAACUUCUUGUUUGCAUCUCACUUCUUUUACCUGGCAUCCACUGUUAAAGCUAAUCUGGAUCCCUCCAGUUUAAUAAACCCCCUUAGCAUCUGUGCUUGAGAAGAGAAAAUGCUCUGGAUUUCCAAACUGCAGCAGCCUUCAUAAACUUUUCUAAUGGGCUGUAAAUUCUAAUGAACUGUAAUUCAAAUGCAGUCCUGGCUCCUAGUCCAUGAGAUGAACUCCACAAGGAACCCUGACGCUCAGCUGAGCAUGAAAAGGCCUUGCCAUGCUUCCGGUCUCCUUGGGUUUAAACACAUUCCAGCUCUUCUGGUGUUUUUCUUUCCUUUCUACAUAGCUAAAACUCCCAUUGUGAGAACAAAGUCCUCAAGAAUGAAUGUAUGAGGUCCCAAGCUGCUUUUUUCUGCACCUCAGUGCAUCAUAAUGCCCUUGCUCUGCUAUUGGGAACCUGCUCCUCCAGCUUCAGCCCUCUAACCCACUGCAUGGGCAUCUACAGAAGUGAGGAGGUGGGGAAUCAUCUGCAAUUCCUGCGAGGAUGUGGACAGUUCAAAUGAAGAUCCACCUUGUAAAACAUUUGCUGCAACCUGUCCAUUGUUAUCUCAUUGAUAGCAUGCAACAACAGGCCCAAAAGGAAUUAGUUAGUUUCUUUCCUCAGGAGGCAACACGCUUCUCUGAAUGUCUUGCUGAAGAGAUGUUCAAGACUAUAACCUCAAAUGUCUCCAUGGCAACUUUCGGUAUCAUCUGAAAUCAGCUAUCAUUGUUUGUCAUUACCAUAGGUAUCCAGUGCCUAUGGAUGGGUAUGAGAGUGCCACCUUGGGCAAGUGACCAUUCACGAACUGUAAAAUGGGUAUAAUAGCCUUCAAAUGUCUCAUUUAUAGCCUUAAUUGUAAGCUUUUUGUAAAAUCCUGACACCAUUGAAGCCAAUAACAAAACUCAUGUUGUCUUCACAGGAUCCCUUGUGUCUGCACAGGCUAGCAAAGCAGGGUCUCAGUUGAGGAGGGCUGGAGGGGGGGCCCUAGGUUUUUUUUUCAGAGAUUGGAAGGCUGGAAGGGACCUCGGAAGAUCAUCAAGUCCAG